GGGGGCAGGCUUACCAUGCAAGUCGAACGGGCACUUCGGUGCUAGUGGCAGACGGGUGAGUAACACGUGGGAACGUACCUUUCGGUUCGGAAUAAUUCAGGGAAACUUGGACUAAUACCGGAUACGCCCUUCGGGGGAAAGAUUUAUCGCCGAUAGAUCGGCCCGCGUCUGAUUAGCUAGUUGGUGAGGUAAUGGCUCACCAAGGCGACGAUCAGUAGCUGGUCUGAGAGGAUGAUCAGCCACAUUGGGACUGAGACACGGCCCAAACUCCUACGGGAGGCAGCAGUGGGGAAUAUUGGACAAUGGGCGCAAGCCUGAUCCAGCCAUGCCGCGUGAGUGAUGAAGGCCUUAGGGUUGUAAAGCUCUUUUGUCCGGGAAGAUAAUGACUGUACCGGAAGAAUAAGCCCCGGCUAACUUCGUGCCAGCAGCCGCGGUAAUACGAAGGGGGCUAGCGUUGCUCGGAAUCACUGGGCGUAAAGGGCGCGUAGGCGGACUCUUAAGUCGGGGGUGAAAGCCCAGGGCUCAACCCUGGAAUUGCCUUCGAUACUGGGAGUCUUGAGUUCGGAAGAGGUUGGUGGAACUGCGAGUGUAGAGGUGAAAUUCGUAGAUAUUCGCAAGAACACCAGUGGCGAAGGCGGCCAACUGGUCCGAUACUGACGCUGAGGCGCGAAAGCGUGGGGAGCAAACAGG
rnacentral:rRNA from 1 species